CCUACGGGAGGCAGCAGUGGGGAAUAUUGCACAAUGGGCAAAAGCCUGAUGCAGCAACGCCGCGUGAAGGAAGACGGUUUUCUGAUUUUAAACUUCUGUUCUUAGUGAAGAAUAAUGACGGUAACUAAGGAGCAAGCCACGGCUAACUACGUGCCAGCAGCCGCGGUAAUACGUAGGUGUCAAGCGUUGUCCGGAAUUACUGGGUGUAAAGGGAGCGUAGGCGGGAAGCCAAGUCAGCUGUGAAACCUACGGGCUUAACCUGUAGACUGCAGUUGAAACUGGCUUUCUUGAGUGAAGUAGAGGUUGGCGGAAUUCCGGGUGUAGCGGUGAAAUGCGUAGAUAUUCGGAGGAACACCGAUGGCGAAGGCGGCCAACUGGGCUUUAACUGACGCUGAGGCUCGAAAGUGUGGGGAGCAAACAGGAUUAGAUACCCCGGUAGUC
rnacentral:rRNA from 1 species